rnacentral:rRNA from 1 species
AAGAGACAGCAGUAGCCACGGUAAUACGGAGGAUCCAAGCGUUAUCCGGAAUCAUUGGGUUUAAAGGGUCCGUAGGCGGUCUUGUAAGUCAGUGGUGAAAGCCCAUCGCUCAACGGUGGAACGGCCAUUGAUACUGCAGGACUUGAAUUAUUGGGAAGUAACUAGAAUAUGUAGUGUAGCGUUGAAAUGCUUAGAGAUUACAUGGAAUACCAAUUGCGAAGGCAGGUUACUACCAAUUGAUUGACGCUGAUGGACGAAAGCGUGGGUAGCGAACAGGAUUAGAUACCCCAGUAGUCCCUGUCUCUUAUAC